rnacentral:rRNA from 1 species
CACGUAGGGGGCGAGCGUUGUCCGGAUUUAUUGGGCGUAAAGAGCUCGUAGGCGGCUCGGUAAGUCGGGUGUGAAAACUCUAGGCUCAACCUAGAGACGCCACCCGAUACUGCUGUGGCUAGAGUCCGGUAGGGGAGCAUGGAAUUCCUGGUGUAGCGGUGAAAUGCGCAGAUAUCAGGAGGAACACCGGUGGCGAAGGCGGGUCUCUGGGCCGAUACUGACGCUGAGGAGCGAAAGCGUGGGGAGCGAACAGG